rnacentral:tRNA from 2 species
CGGCCGCUUCGUCGGGCUUCAUGUAGGUGCGCUUCUGGCGCACUUCGACGGCGACGGUGCUCUUGGUGCGGCCCUGGGCGACCGUC